GAAAGAGAGAGAAACAUAGAGACAGAGAGACAAAAACAGAGAGAGAGAAACAGAGAGUAGUUAGGGUUCACAGCCGAAAACAUUAAUCUCAUAGCAACCGCCCUGAACAGUGCAGGGCUCUUCAAGAACAAUACCUCCCAGACCGGCUGUCAAAAAUACACAGCACUUCAAGCGAACAGAGAUGAAAAACAACAAGCACUGCAUGUGUUUUUCUGUGAACGUCUGUUUACCUGGGGGAUUGUGUAUCUAGCGGACUGAUACUGUAUGAGGUUGAUGACGUUUCCUUUGUAUUUCUACAGUAGAUGUGUGCGUGUGAGAGUACCUGGGUGCCAGCAGGGUAGAGCGUGUCCCUAGGGGGCUGAUGAGGUGUAUAGCCAGGUUUCCUCUGUGGUUGUAGGAGAGAGUGAGGCGGGCCUGGACGUGCUCCAGAGAGCUGACAUACUCUGGUUUGCCCCAGCAGGCGUCCAAUGUCUUACUGAACAGCAGCCGGCUGCUUAUAUCCCUAGGCUCUGAGAGCAUGGUGAGAACACACUGGUGCUGUGGGCCCACACUUGUCCAGUUCUGAGCCAGAGCCACCAUGGCCCCCGCAUCCAGCAGACCAUACCCAUACGAAUGACUCACUGAGAAACAGAAAAAGCAUGAGAGAAGUUAUGAAGAGUCAAGUGAGUCCAUUUAUCAUGUUGUUCAGUUAUCCAAGGCAUGUCCAAUGAGAGCUUCCCUGUUACCUCUGCGGCCCACUCCAUUGGUACUCCAGUCGUCCGUGCUGAGGUGGGCGGGGUGAGAGGUUCUCACCACCAGGUGCUGCAUGUCCCUCCACGUCAGGUUCAUACUAUACAGAGAGAGACGAAGAUAUAUGUAUUCUUAUGUUAGAGAUAUUCUAAUCAAAGAGAGGAGAGCUUAACAGAGAUAUUCUAGUGAGUGAGAUAUCCCUCCAUAUCAGGUUCAUUCUACAGGCAGAUAAGAAAGAUAAAGACAUACAAUACAAAAAAAGAUGCAUAAAUCACCACUAGAGGCCUGAGGGAUAUAUCAGGGACAUGUCGGUCCCACAGCUGUGAAAUGGAAGUGGUCCAUAAUGUUUUAAUAGCAGUGUCCAGUAACAGCACCGUUAUAAAGGUAGCCAUAAACACUGGUGUUUAAUGGUGAGAAAACACAGUAAAACCUCAUAGUAGGAUAACAGGGUACUGUACAGCAAGCUGAGCUGAAAUAUUUCCCUCAGUGGUACCGCUCUUUUGAGCGGCUGUUUUCAACUGUCUUCGUAAUUUCGGGGCAGAUCACGUGGUCAGGCCAGCUGUGUGAACUUGGCGCUACCCACAGUGGAGCACCAGUAAAGCAGUCAGUAAUGACAACUAGCCUUCAUGUAGCUCCUAAUGAUUUUGUUCUUGGGACAGGUCACAUUGCACUAAGUACAAGGGUCAUAUUAAAUCUCUCCAGCUGAUUUAGCGGAGGUAGGUAGGUAGAGCAGAGUGGACUAGACGUUAAUGGAGCAUAUGCCUUUGUAGUGAGCAGAGAAAAUGAGGACUGCGGGCAAAGAUAAUCAAACCAUGAAUCACAUGGGUUUACUGCUCACCUCGCUGCUCGCCGCCGUGCACCGGGCCAAGACAAAAAUAGAAGCAAUAGAACCACUCCGCAGCGUGACAGCAGUAGAGGCAGCAGCAGACUCUCACCUCAACAACCUUCCACAUCCACACACUCCCUCCAUCAGCAUUCACGUCUCACACUCUCAUGUGUUAUUAAUAGACAUGAAACUCCAUCCAAUCAAUGCCACCUCGCUGGAAAAACAGUGCCGUCCCUAUUAAAUGAUUCCAUCUACAUGAAUUCCAUCUCCUGAGGAAAUACAAGCUGCCCUGCUUUGCUCUCUCUGGGGAAAUGCUGAGGACCUGAGCCCUAGGACCAUGCCCCAGGACUACCUGACAUGAUGACUCCUUGCUGUCCCCAGUCCACCUGGUCGUGCUGCUGCUCCAGUUUCAACUGACCUGAGCCCUAGGACCAUGCCCCAGGACUACCUGACAUGAUGACUCCUUGCUGUCCCCAGUCCACCUGGCCGUGCUGCUGCUCCAGUUUCAACUGACCUGAGCCCUAGGACCAUGCCCCAGGACUACCUGACAUGAUGACUCCUUGCUGUCCCCAGUCCACCUGGCCGUGCUGCUGCUCCAGUUUCAACUGUUCUGCCUUAUUAUUAUUCGACCAUGCUGGUCAUUUAUGAACAUUUCAACAUCUUGGCCAUGUUCUGUUAUAAUCUCCACCCGGCACAGCCAGAAGAGGACUGGCCACCCCACAUAGCCUGGUUCCGCUCUAGGUUUCUUCCUAGGUUUUGGCCUUUCUAGGGAGUUUUUCCUAGCCACUGCUUCUACAUCUGCAUUGCUUGCUGUUUGGGGUUUUAGGCUGGGUUUCUGUACAGCACUUUGAGAUAUCAGCUGAUGUACGAAGGGCUAUAUAAAUCCAUUUGAUUUGAUUUGAUUCAAUAUUCACUUUCGAUCUCCAUCUGUCCCAUAGUAACGAAUGUGUCGGGACGAGACGUACAGACAGGCAUCAUUUCUCAUUCAGUCUAAAUCAUAAAUCAGCUGGCAUAAUUUUUAUGGAUAUAUACAAAGAAAUGUUAAUUGAAAAAAGGUCAAACGAAAUGAAGUGCAGCUAGUUUGCAGUUUUUCCAGCUUCAGUUUAAAGUGAUUGUGUUGGCUGUGUUGUUGGCUAGUGCCUCUGAACAACAGUGUUCGGACGAGUGAGCACAUUUUCUAUGCCAGGUGAAAUUGCGCCUCAUUAGCUCAUUGUUAUGAAUGCAUCCAAAUAAAUGUUACUAGAAAACAGCUUAAACAAAUGCAAAUGCAGCUACUUUGCUGUUAUUCUGUCUGUAAGUUAGCCAUAGUUGGCUAGAUAGCAAGCAAGGGAUAAGAACGUUGCCAGCCAGUAUGGCAAUGGAACACUUAGAAUUAAUGACUGGGUCGCAUCCAUAGAUACAUAACAAAAAUACUGAACGAUUGGGUCUCCUUUUUAGCAACCGAACCGAUAGAACAAAUGUCCAGCCGGCUUCGGUAGCAAACCUAGAUUUGUGACGUGGCUAUAUCUUGUGGAAGGAUGAAAUAGUAUUAAUAAAUUAAUCAAAAUAACCUUUUUUUCUGAACAUAAUUUGAAUAUGUUGGUAACCUGUUGUAUAAAAGUGAUAAUGCCGGUGUUUAGAGAAUAUAUUGGCACGGUUUGCCUAACAACAGCCGUGCCAAUAUAUCCUCCAAACACCGGCUACUUCGACUACCCAAACUACACAUCAUUGCAUUACUUUCGACUUCUAGAAAGUGUUUUACUCAAUUAUUUUCAUCAAUGUUGAGCUCACUUGUGAUGUGAUGAAUUAUAAAUAGUAAUUGCUAUUAGCUCAUUCAUAUUGUGAUUUCUGUCUGCCGAGAGUUAUGUAAAUAUGACCGCUUGUGUUACUUCAAUAUUUCCUCAGUUAGUGCCAGGACUAAUCUAUCUUACAUUUUCCGGUUUGGAUGAUUGUGUAUGCUGUUGCUACUUCUGUGAAUGUCUGAACAUUUGAAUCCAAAAAUAAACUUGUCACAUUCAGGACAUAA